rnacentral:ncRNA from 1 species
CCGCCAGCUUUAUUAGUUGACAGUUCCCAGUUGACAGUUUAUAAUCAGUAAUAAUUUUUUUGGGCAGGUACCCAAGUGGUCAAAGGGGACAGACUGUGUUAGAACGCAGCGCUCCGACGAAAGGUUGGAGUGUAAAAGUAGGUGAAUUCAGGGAAACCCAAAGCGGCUUGUAAUGAAUGUGUGGUCUUCGCAAGUCGAAGGGCAAUCCUGAGCCAAGCCCCGGCAUAUGUCUACCGCCAGGCAGACAUUGCCGAUGGAAGGUGCAGAGACUAAGCGCCUGCCGCCUAAAGUUAUUAUAUUUUCAAUAUAUAAUAACUAUGGUGAUGAGAUAGUCCAAGCCUCGAGGUAACUUGAGG